rnacentral:rRNA from 1 species
AACGUACGCUGGCGGCACGCCUAACACAUGCAAGUCGAACGAAGUAGCAAUACUUAGUGGCAGACGGGUGAGUAACAUGUAGGUAUCUGCCCUUUGGCCUGGAAUAACACGAGGAAACUUGUGCUAAUACCGGAUAAGUCUUUACGGAGAAAGCUUUAUGCACCAUUGGAUGAGCCUGCACUUGAUUAGUUUGUUGGUGGGGUAAUGGCCUACCAAGACUGUGAUCAAUAGCUGAUUUGAGAGGAUGAUCAGCCACAUUGGGACUGAGACACGGCCCAAACUCCUACGGGAGGCAGCAGUGGGGAAUCUUGCACAAUGGAGGAAACUCUGAUGCAGCGAUGCCGCGUGAGUGAAGAAGGCCUUUGGGUUGUAAAGCUCUUUCGUCGGGGAAGAAAAUGACUGUACCCGAAUAAGAAGGUCCGGCUAACUUCGUGCCAGCAGCCGCGGUAAUACGAAGGGACCUAGCGUAGUUCGGAAUUACUGGGCUUAAAGAGUUCGUAGGUGGUUGAAAAAGUUGGUGGUGAAAUCCCAGAGCUUAACUCUGGAACUGCCAUCAAAACUUUUCAGCUAGAGUAUGAUAGAGGAAAGCAGAAUUUCUAGUGUAGAGGUGAAAUUCGUAGAUAUUAGAAAGAAUACCAAUUGCGAAGGCAGCUUUCUGGAUCAUUACUGACACUGAGGAACGAAAGCAUGGGUAGCGAAGAGGAUUAGAUACCCUCGUAGUCCAUGCCGUAAACGAUGUGUGUUAGACGUUGAAAAUUUAUUUUCAGUGUCGCAGCGAAAGCGAUAAACACACCGCCUGGGGGAGUACGACCGCAAGGUUAAAACUCAAAUGAAUUGACGGGGACCCGCACAAGUAGUGGAGCAUGUGGUUUAAUUCGAAGAUACGCGCAGAACCUUACCAACACUUGACAUGUUCGUCGCGACUCU